GAGGAAAAGAAACUAACAAGGAUUCCCCUAGUAACGGCGAGUGAAGAGGGAAGAGCUCAAAUUUGAAAGCUGGUACCUUCGGUAUCCGCGUUGUAACCUCGAGACACGUUUUCCGUGCGGCGCUAUGGACAAGUUCCUUGGAACAGGACAUCGUAGAGGGUGAAAAUCCCGUACUUGCCAUGGAUGUACCGUGCUUUGCGAUACGUGCUCUAAGAGUCGAGUUGUUUGGGAUUGCAGCUCAAAAUGGGUGGUAGACUCCAUCUAAAGCUAAAUAUCGGGGAGAGACCGAUAGCGAACAAGUACCGUGAGGGAAAGAUGAAAAGCACUUUGGAAAGAGAGUUAAAAGUACGUGAAAUUGUCGAAAGGGAAGCGCUUGAAGUCAGCCAUGCCGCUCAGGACUCAGCCUGGCUUUUGCUUGGUGUAUUUCCUGGGUAGCAAGUCAGCAUUGGUUUGGAUCGUCGGAGAAGCAUAGUCGGAAUGUGGCGCCCUCGGGCGUGUUAUAGCCUUCUAUUGGAUACGACGAUCUAGACCAAGGAACGCAGCGCGCCUUAUGGCGGGUCUUCGGACACCUUCGCGCUUAGGAUGCUGGCGUAAUGGCUUUAAGUGG
rnacentral:rRNA from 1 species